rnacentral:lncRNA from 1 species
UUACAGGCAUGAGCCACUUCAUCUGGCCAAGAGGGACAUUUUAUUUUUACAUAUUGACUAUGAACUUAGGCCUUAUGAAGAUCUGGUUAUUUAAGUGUUUGGCACCUCCCUCCAUUCCACUGUCUCUCUCUUGCUCCUGCUAUGGCAUGCGAAGUACCUGCUUCCACUAGUGAUGACCUAGGGUAUCUUGAAGAACAAACUUCUAAGCAGCAAAGUGCUCAAGAUGUAGCCUGGCUGCUUCUAACUAUCUAUGCUCAGAUAUGGGAGCAAAUAAAUGAUCUAAAGUUGAAAUUUAUAUUUAAAAAGGAAGCAAAGCAUAAAAAUUUGGAAAUUUUGCAGCCUAGCCAUGUAGCAAAGAAAGAAAAUCUUUUUUGGGAGAGGAAUUC